AGCAUAUCAAUAAGCGGAGGAAAAGAAACCAACAGGGAUUGCCCUAGUAACGGCGAGUGAAGCGGCAACAGCUCAAAUUUGAAAUCUGGCGUCUUUGGCGUCCGAGUUGUAAUUUGCAGAGGGCGCUUUGGCAUUGGCAGCGGUCCAAGUUCCUUGGAACAGGACGUCACAGAGGGUGAGAAUCCCGUACGUGGUCGCUAGCCUUUACCGUGUAAAGCCCCUUCGACGAGUCGAGUUGUUUGGGAAUGCAGCUCUAAAUGGGAGGUAAAUUUCUUCUAAAGCUAAAUACUGGCCAGAGACCGAUAGCGCACAAGUAGAGUGAUCGAAAGAUGAAAAGCACUUUGGAAAGAGAGUUAAAAAGCACGUGAAAUUGUUGAAAGGGAAGCGCUUGCAGCCAGACUUGCCUGUAGUUGCUCAUCCGGGUUUUUACCCGGUGCACUCUUCUACGGGCAGGCCAGCAUCAGUUUGGGCGGUUGGAUAAAGGUCUCUGUCAUGUACCUCUCUUCGGGGAGAACUUAUAGGGGAGACGACAUGCAACCAGCCUGGACUGAGGUCCGCGCAUCUGCUAGGAUGCUGGCGUAAUGGCUGUAAGCGGCCCGUCUUGAAACACGGACCAAGGAGUCUAACAUCUAUGCGAGUGUUUGGGUGUCAAGCCCGAGCGCGUAAUGAAAGUGAACGGAGGUGGGAACCUUUCGGGGUGCACCAUCGACCGAUCCUGAUGUCUUCGGAUGGAUUUGAGUAAGAGCAUAGCUGUUGGGACCCGAAAGAUGGUGAACUAUGCUUGAAUAGGGUGAAGCCAGAGGAAACUCUGGUGGAGGCUCGCAGCGGUUCUGACGUGCAAAUCGAUCGUCAAAUUUGGGCAUAGGGGCGAAAGACUAAUCGAACUAUCUAGUAGCUGG
rnacentral:rRNA from 1 species